GCUCUGUGGCCCACAGCCUAGAGGAGCUCAUCCUGGCCUGGCAGGUGAGAAGGUGCACCUGCCCUUCCUCCCUCUGGCUGAGGCUCUUGAGGGUUGCUCGCUGCAGAGUCCCAGGAGAGGCAGGUGGCCUGCUGGCUCUGCAGCAGUCUUUGCAGACCCAGGGUUGGGGGGAGUCUCCUGCUGAGAAUGAUGUAUGUGGGGGAGCCACAUGGUCCAGCGGGAGGCCUGAGCCUUUUGUCUGUCCCACCAGGUGGAUGGUGACUGCAGGGCCACCGAGAAGACUCAGCCGACCUGUCCAGGACAGAGGCCCGCCUGCCGGGCCUUCUUCCAGGACCUCUGUUCCAGCUUGGGGAACUGCUUCUGGGUGAUAAAGAAAAUUACAA